AGUCUGAUGCCAAGAAUGAGACGAAAUCUGUAAAAGAUUCUUAGACCAAGAAUGUAGCCAUUGUAUGAGAGUCAAGGGCCGAACAAAGGUCAAUAAUAUCAUAGGAUAACAAUAUAUUUGGAUUAUA